rnacentral:rRNA from 1 species
GUCUAUGGCCAUACCACCCUGAACGCACCCGAUAUCGUCUGAUCUCAGAAGCUAAGCAGGGUCGGGCCUGGUUAGUACUUGGAUGGGAAAAAGAGCCAUCUUCU